GACGAACGCUGGCGGCGUGCUUAACACAUGCAAGUCGAACGGUGAUCUUGAGAGCUUGCUCUUGGGUGAUCAGUGGCGAACGGGUGAGUAACACGUGAGUAACCUGCCCCAGACUCUGGAAUAACCCCGGGAAACCGGAGCUAAUACCGGAUACGAAGUAGAGUCGCAUGGCUGCUACUUGGAAAGUUUUUUCGGUCUGGGAUGGACUCGCGGCCUAUCAGCUUGUUGGUGAGGUAACGGCUCACCAAGGCGACGACGGGUAGCCGGCCUGAGAGGGCGACCGGCCACACUGGGACUGAGACACGGCCCAGACUCCUACGGGUGGCAG
rnacentral:rRNA from 1 species